rnacentral:rRNA from 1 species
UGGGGAAUAUUGCGCAAUGGGGGGAACCCUGACGCAGCCAUGCCGCGUGAAUGAAGAAGGCCUUCGGGUUGUAAAGUUCUUUCGGUAUUGAGGAAGGUUGAUGUGUUAAUAGCACAUCAAAUUGACGUUAAAUACAGAAGAAGCACCGGCUAACUCCGUGCCAGCAGCCGCGGUAAUACGGAGGGUGCGAGCGUUAAUCGGAAUAACUGGGCGUAAAGGGCACGCAGGCGGUUAUUUAAGUGAGGUGUGAAAGCCCCGGGCUUAACCUGGGAAUUGCAUUUCAGACUGGGUAACUAGAGUACUUUAGGGAGGGGUAGAAUUCCACGUGUAGCGGUGAAAUGCGUAGAGAUGUGGAGGAAUACCGAAGGCGAAGGCAGCCCCUUGGGAAUGUACUGACGCUCAUGUGCGAAAGCGUGGGGAGCAAACAGGAUUAGAUACCCUGGUAGUCCACGCUGUAAACGCUGUCGAUUUGGGGGUUGGGGUUUAACUCUGGCGCCCGUAGCUAACGUGAUAAAUCGGCCGCCUGGGGAGUACGGCCGCAAGGUU